GGGGUUGUGGCUCAGUGAUAGAGCACUUGCCUAGCACGCAUGAGGCACUGGGUUCAAUUCCCGGCACCA
rnacentral:tRNA from 1 species